ACAGCGGAUGGUGAGUAUAACACAGAUUUAUUGAUAUAAGUAGGCAGAUAAGUAAUGCAGUCUGUUGAUAUUGUGAAUGUGGGAUGAUAAUGACUGAUAAAGGAUAUUUUGCCAAGGUGGAGAUGCCAGGAGCUCGUGAUUGACGGGAGAUGCACACACCUCGGGGAAUGGUGGUUUCUGAGCGGGGAAGACAGGCGAGGACAGACGAAUGGAGGUGACGCAGGGAAACACAGACGAUCCGGACGAGGAGGUAAGUAUAGCGAGGUAAGUCUAUCUAGCAUUUUACAUUUACAUUUAUGCAUUUAGCAGACGCUUUUAUCCAAAGCGACUUACAUUGCAUUCAAGUUACAGUUUUUUUACAUUUUAUCAGCUCUUGCUUUCCCUGGGAAUCGAACCCAUGAUCUUGGUGUUGCUAGCGCCAUGCUCUACUAGUUGAGCUACAGGAAAGCUAGCAGGUAGGGAAUGAGUCCACUUCGUGUGAUCGAGAUCGGAUGCUGACUGGAGUGAGGUGUGUGCUUAUGUAGUGUGGUUUGGGCUGAGUGUUGAUGAGGUGCAGGUGGUUGUGAUCAGUAUUCAGGUGAUUGUGAUCUUUGCUUGGGAUUGGUGGAGGAGCCUGGCUGAUCCGUGACAAUGGGGGCAGAAAAUUUAAAUAUUUAUACCACUUCAAUAUAUCACUUAAUCAAUUUCACACAAAGAGUGCCAUUUUUCUCCAAAAAUUACCAUGAUUACAAAUGUGAUAUUGAAUUUUUACAACAGAUCAAUAAACAAAAAGUUAAUUAAGUUUUAGACACUAUAUUACCUGUUUUUGCUCAAUUUCACCAACAAAAAUAAUUCCAAACACAGCCACAGCACUGUUUUGCGUCUCUGAGCAACAUGACGGUGUUUCGUUCCUGAAUGAAUCAACUGAUUCGGUUCAAUCGCAAUGACUCACUUAUUAACAGUGGUUUGCUGCCACCUAUUGGUGGUUUUAAUUUCACAUUUCGAUUUUUUUAAAUAAUUUCAAAUAUCAGAAUUUAACGUUUUAUUUUUAAUAUAUCAAAACAUUAUUUAUGCAUUUGUAAUUGCAGUUAAAUGCAUUAUGUCUUGCAUUAAACAGUGUGUAAAUGCAUCUAAAUUCCACUUCAGAUGCAGCUUCUGAGCUGAUUUGAUUUGCUUUGCUUGGUAACAGCCCAAAUGUCUUAUUAUUCUAAUUCACUGAUUAAAUGUAAGAAUUUGACUCAAAAGAUAAUGGGCAAUUGUAGAAAAAAUGGCUUUAUAAACAUAAAAAUGCCCAUAAAAUAUAAAAAUCAGUUUAAACUUAUUGGAAAAGAUUUCUGUCACUGUGAAUUAAAAUAAUAAUAAUAAAAUUAUAUAUAUAUAUAUAUAUAUAUAUAUAUUUAUAUUUAUAUUAGACACUUGAUUUUACUGAAGGCUACCAGGAUAAUUAUAACUUGAGUUUAUUAAAUUCAUAAACAUAAACAAAUUAUAUCUUCUCUAUUUCCUGUUUGUAGCGUGGAUCAUUCAUUGCAACAUCUGAUUCUCAUGUUUAAGAAUCUUUUAUCUUGAAAAAUAAUUUAUCAGGGUUCCCGCGGGUCCUUAAAGAGUCUUAAAUUGUACAAGAAAGUCUUAAUUAUGAUUUCAAGAUGUCUUAAAUUUGGGUACAGACCAGAAUUGCGAUACAGUUUAAUGUGACGAUUAAACUUCAAAAGGCUAUAAAUAAAAUAUGAGCGCUGCAUGUUUCAAAGUCCAGCUGUGCUGCUUUGUGUUCUGCAAUACCAGGGAAACAGUUCGAAAGCGCCUCCUGCUGGCAGAGAAUGAAUGUGCAUGUUCAAUAAGGCUGUUGUUGUGAGUAGGGUAUUCAUGCAAUACCGGAGGCUGUAGUUUCAGAACCGGAUUUCUAGGAUCCUAUAGUUUUUUUGUUUGUUUGUUUGUUUUUUAAUUAUUUUAUUUAUUUUUUGUAUGUAUGUAUUAUGUCAGGUCUUCCAGCCAGUUCUAUCAAACCUUUACAAUUAAUCCGGAAAGCGCAGCAAGAUUAAUUUUUAAUGAGCCAAAAAGAAUUCUAAUUCUAUUCUUUAAAAAAAAAAAAAAAAAAACUUGGCCCUUUUAGACUUGCACUCUAUUCAUUUACUGCUUGUUUUCCAAAAAAAAAAUAGUGGUUUAAAAUUCAGUUUUCUUGGAAAGACUUGUUUCUGUGUGAGACUUCAGUUAAUUAGCCGCAGUGCUUCAUGUCUGAUGUGCUGUUUGUUUGCAUCUGUUUGUUUGAUGUUUGAAUCAGGUCACCUCUGUUGGAAUAGAUGGUGCUGUCCCAAAAAAGAACUGCAGCCUCCAGUAUUGUAGGAACAUUGGGUUGUUUUUGUUCAGACCAAUACAAAAAUCAACCCAUGUUUUUGCCCUGCAAACACACAGAGCUGUAAAUGUGAACUGGUGGAUCGAUAAGGAGAUAAUUCAUUAUAAAAAUCUAAACAGUAAAAUGUGUUUGUAUGUUAUUUAAUUAAUAUAAUAAUUUAUUGAUAAUUGUGUAAAUUAAUAUAAUAAUUAAUACUUUUGACUCAUCCAUUUUCUUAAAAAUGGUUUAAAGGCUGAAAUGUGAAGUGUAUCAUUUUAUAAAAUCUAUCUGAACUGUAAAUCAUGCUUUUUACAGUCAUUUUAUCAUUGCCCUACCCUGCUCAUAUGGUAUUAAUUUUAUUUGUGCAGGUCUUAAAAAAGGUCUUAAAAAGUCUUAAAUUUGAGCUUAAAAAUCCUGCAGCAACCCUGUUUAUGCUACUACUGCCCACUGACUUGGUUUUAAACCUAUAUUAUUAUCCAAUUUAUGAGCCUUAAAACAUCUUAAAAUGCACACAUGUAGGUCAGGAAAAUCUAAAUUUUCUCGGGGGAGCAUGCCCCCCAACCCUCCUAACAAUCUACAUUUUGGGACCUCGGUAUUUAUAAAAUCCUGCGUACGGCCCUGUUUUCCUCUAUUUCAAAUCUUUCUAAUUGUCCAGUCAUAAUAGCAGGUGAUUUUAAUACAGUUCUCAACCCAGCAAUAGAUAGAUCUAGUUUAAGUAAUAAACACAUUUGGCAAUCUGCAGAAACCAUAAAACAGUUCAUGAGUGAUUUUGGUCUUGGUGAUAGCUGGCGAUUACAACACCCAAAUGCUAAAGAAUACUCGUUUUUCUCAUCAGUCCAUCACUCAUAUUCCCGCAUUGAUUUCUUUCUCAUCAGUAAUUCUAUCAUAUCAAGCAUUUCUGAAUCAAAGAUUCAUCCAAUUGUCAUUAGCGACCAUGUUCCAGUAACAUUAAAAUGGACUGGGAAGUGAACCUCAUAAACCAGCUACCAGAUGACAUUUUAACAUAUCUCUUCUGAAAUACACAGAUUUUGACAUCUAUUUUAAAAGAGAGAGGGCAUUCUUUCUAGAACUGAAUGACAGCCCUGGAUCGUCUUCCUCUCUUCUGUGGGAAACAGAAAAAGCACUACUAAGAGGGAAAAUAAUCUCAUACUCCGUUUACAAAAAAAAGAAGGAAAAUGAACAAGAAACAGAAUUGGAACAGAAAAUCAAACAACUUCAAUAUAAAUAGCCCAACAUAAUGUAGCAGGGUAGCGUUAUCUGUUAUUGGCCCGGUUUGAUUGGUGGACCAAUGAGAUGUAAGCAGCCCUACUACUUGAGGACUCUUAUUUUGAGGGGUAGCGUGGUGUCUGGUUGAUUUUGAGCUCUCCUCUUCCUGGCAUUCCCCUUUCCGUUCCUCACUGCGUCAGUUUGAUUUUUAGAGUGGGGCUGGUGGCAUUGAUAUUGCGGCAAGUGUGUGGCGGAGUUCGCUUACAGUAAUGGUGACACAAGCGGAUGCGUGAAUGCUGUCUGGUACGUUGAGUCACACUUGUUGGAGUAACCAUAUAGCUUUGCGCUGGUCUUCGUUCAACCCUAACCGUAAAAGGGGGAAUGAAACAUCACCGCCUCUAAGUUGAUCUCUUGGUGAAGACCUGUUUCUGUUUUGAAGAUACUACCGCUGCUGUUUUGCUUACGGGCAUUUUUUGUUUUUGUUUUGAAUACGGACCUGUGGUACGGCUUCGCUGUUUGGCGGGUCGUUUGGGCUGAUCUCUGUGCCUGUGCCGGGCCAUCUAUCCGUUUUAUUGUGAUUUAGUAUAAUUUUGUUUGCGCAUUGCGCUGUGGUUUUUCUUUUUUUUGUACUUUGGGUUUCUUUUAUAAUAGAGUUAACUUUUAUAUUGUUUCUCUUUUUUUGUGUUGUGCUAUUUGUGGUUGUUUUGCAGCUUCAUAACUGUUCCUUUUACAUUUCUGUGUAUUACGUCAUCGUAAAGAAUUCACAUUUUUUACUUCAUUCGUUUUGUACUUCUGGUGUCCUCCAGGCACUGUGACUUGCUCUCACUUAGGAGGCUGGCGCAUUGGAGUCCCUACAAUUAGUGUCUGUAAAUUUAGUCUGAUUGUUUUUUAUUUUUUAUAAUACUUUUCUUGUAAUUUUUGGUUAAUGUUUUUCAUUUCUGCCUCCAGGAGCCAGUGAGGACUCUGUGUGGAGCAGGGGAGGCUAGCCGCUUUCCUUCCAUGGUGUGUCUCACGGGGUAUUUUGUGUGUGUGUGUGUGUUGGUACAAUUUGCUUUACUGUGUGUUUUGUGAGGUGUUUGCUGUGGUGUGAAUUUAGGUGGGUUUGGAUGACCUCCCGAGUUGCAGCCGGCCUGCCCUGUUCCCACUCAGCCUGGCCCUGAAGUUACUUUAAUAAUCUGGUGGUGUGUUUCUGGAGAGAGAGAAUUUUAUUGAUAUUAUUAUAAUAAAGUGUAUUUUUGUAUUGACACAUGUCUCACUAGAUCUUAUUUCCUUGCCUCCAACUGGUAAAACUUACCUGUGUC